GCAUAAAAACUGUCUUGGAGUUAACAGCAGUUCUCUGUUUCUCCUGAAUGUUAUGUACAAUUUGAUCGGGAUCGGAAGAAUGUUUCAAAAAGUCGGGCUCAGUGAUCAAUUAAUUUAAACAACAGACCGCCAAAUUUAACCUUGGCUUCCAUGUUGCAACGUCUGCUCUGUCUAAAGGAAGAAGUUUGUUGACCAGACAGCCUGAGAUCGUAUUGCUGUAUCAACCAAAAGAUGCAGAUACACAUAUUUCAUACGCGGUAGUGUCUGUGCAUGAGGAGGAGAUUUCUGAAAAAGAAUUAGUGCUUAUUCAACUUACUGCGAUUUUAACAGGCUUGAAGCUUGGUCCAUGGAUGGUUAUGUUUGAGGAUUUGCCAAUUCGACUGCAAGUGCUGCUGCAAGAAAUUAAACAUGCAGUGACCUUACAAUUUACAAAGAAGUCUGAAGAAAAUUUUUACUGGACAGAUGGGUGUAAAGCAAAGACCUGAGAUAUAAAUUGAAUUGUGAGAAAUAUGAAUCAGGGAUGCAGGUAGAAAAUGGCAAAUGUGAUACAGAUUGAUAAAAAAUGUCUAAAAUUCUUUCUUGUUUUGUAAAU